AUUGAACGCUGGCGGCAGGCCUAACACAUGCAAGUCGAACGAGUGUCGGACGUGUGAGUAAUGUCUGGGAAACUGCCCGAUGGCGGGGGAUAACUACUGGAAACGGUAUCUAAUACCGCAUACCAUCGGCUUUGCCCAGGGGCGAUUAGCUAGUAGGUGGGGUAACGGCUCACCUAGGCGACGAUCCCUAGCUGGUCUGAGCGGAUGACCAGCCACACUGGAAAUGAGAAACGGUCCAGACGCAGACGGGAGGCAGCAGUGGGGAAGAGUGCACAAUGGGCGAAAGCCUGAUGCAGCCAUGCCGCGUGUAUGAAGAAGGCCUUCGGGUUGUAAAGUACUUUCAGGGAGGAGGCGUUACUCGCAGAAGAAGGACAGGCUAACUAUGUGCCAGCAGCCGCGGUAAUUC
rnacentral:rRNA from 1 species